rnacentral:lncRNA from 1 species
UUUAGUGGGAGGCUCCAUUUAAUUUGUUUGUGUGUAAGGGGCCUUGUGUUCUUUUACAAGAUGGGCCCCUAUAACACAAGAACAAGUAACGACACUUUUUGUUUUAUUGUUUAUUAAUUUAAAUCAAAUGUGAUUUAAUAUAAUUAAAAAAAUAUAUAAAUAUGAAGCCUAGGGUUUCCACCAAGUAGAGAUAUAAACGGGAUUGUGUUCUUAAAAAGAAAAGAGAGAGCCACAUUAUACAGAUCAGAGAAAAAAAAAAUUCUCUCUAAUUUUGAGAGGAAUAUUUUCUCUUGCUAGUUGCUUUUAGUAGUGAUAAAGGCGUCAACACGUCAAGUGCAGAUCAAACUUGAGUCAUAACCUAGAAGAUCAUUGGUGACAGAUCUUGAUCUAACAAGAUUAGUAGUGACGGAUCGUGAUCUAACAUGAGUGAUGGUGACGGAUCAUGAUCUGAGAGCCUAGAUUAAUUCAGCAAAAAAGCCAAAUCAGAUUGUCAAAGUAUGAUUUUCUAGAUUACGAAUUCCUAUAUAUUGUAUGAGAUCGGUCAUAAAAGUUUUUAUACAAAAUUUAAAAACUGAUUUUUCUCCAUUAGAUUUAUGACAAGACAUGUACAAUCAAGAGAACAGAAACCAGGAAGAUGAUUUUUAUGAUUACACUGCAAAUGAGUGGCCCUCGAGAUGUUGUGUAAAAUGAUGAUUAUGCAAUUCACAAAUCACUUUUAACAUCCGAUCUUGAUUAUUCGCCUACAUUUGUCCCUUUAAUAAAAAUAGAAAACCACACUUUUUUGUUCCACUUGCACUACGCCUUUUCUUCUUUUCCAACUCACUAUUCUGCUUAUAAGCAGAAUUUUAAGAGAUAUUUGGACGGUGGUGCUAAUAAAAAUUUUUUAAGGAAAAAAAUUAUUUGACUUUUGAGUAAGGGUUUAAUUAAAAAUUGUUCUAUUAUGCAAUUUUGGUGAAGGUUAAAAUUGUAAAAUAAUUAAAGAGUUUUUAAGAGGUAUUUGAAGGGGUGUCAAUAGUCCUACUCUUAUUGAACUCAAAAUUAUUAUUAAUGUUGUUACUAAUUUUGGAAUGCUUAUUAAAUUCAAUAUUAAUUAUAAUUAUUUUUUUUCCAUUUAGAUUUUCUCAUACCUAUAGAGAAUAAUUGUGUAGCUGAUAUCUUGGCUAAUUUGAGGUUUCAAUGUGAUACUUUUUCUUGAUGGAGUGAUCUGCCUACUGAGAUUCAAAGUUUCUUUAUCAAGAUUCCAAUGGUUUCCGCAAGUAUAGAUUUAGUUAGAUAUGAUAUGUGAUUUCUCUAUCAUUUGUUUUUUGCAGCUCUCUUUAUAAGCUUUUGUGUUAUUCCUCUUAUAGAAGUUAAAGCUCACUAUGUUCCUCUUCUAAUUUCUUAGUUUUUGUUUUGUUUAUUAUUAUUAUUAUUAUUAUUAUUAUUAUUAUUAUUAUUAUUAUUAUUAAACGCCUAUUUUGAGAGACCUAAUUAUGAAAAAAAAAUAGUACAAUUAUUUUUUAUUGUUAUAAAAUAAAUAAAUGAUAAAGAAAAUUUUUAAACUAAAUAAAAUACUUUAAAUACCUUUGUUAUUGUUAAUUCACUUAUUACACGAGCUUCCACGAAUAUAUAAUAGUGCAUCGGUGGGGUAGGGGGUUGCUCCAAAUUUCCAGAUUUUUGCGUUUUGUAAAUGGUGAAAGUUCACCACUUAUUUCACAUCAUUUAUAAAUUUUUUGAUAGGCUCAGAUAUUUUCACACACUAUAAGAAAAAGGACAUAUUAUGACAAGUAAAAACUGUCAUAGUAGGGGUUGGAUGACGGUUGUUCAUACCGUCGUUGUAACCAACGUCAAGAAUUAAUGACAGAACAAUACCCGUCACAACCUGUGAUAAAUAUAACCAGUCACACAACUAUCAUAAUUUUAUUUAAAAGAAAUAUAAUAAUUUUGAAUUUGAUUUUUUUUAAUUUCACAUGCUAUAUUUUGAAAUUUUAGCGGGAAAUCCUAAAUUUGGUGCAAAAAUGAAAAUCAUAAUUAAUUGAAUUUUUUACAAUUAAUUCUGAAAUUAAAAUUAAAAUUAAUAAAAAUGACUAUUUUGUUACUACCAAGAAAUCAUUAUCAUUUUAAUAAAAAUCUUGCAAUUGAUUUAGAAAUUAAAAUUUCAUAAUUUAGUUAAUUAAUUAGAUUGUUAAAAUGAAUAUUACAAUUAAAAAUUCACUGACAAAGAAAAUGAAAUAAAUAACACUGAAUAAUUAUCGAUAAUUGUCAACAAACAUAAUUUAUCCAAAUACAAGUGACAAGUCCAAAAUAAAUAGAAAGUAUUGUAACAACAUAAAAUCCAAAUUUCAGCAACAUGUAGAAGACUAGCAGUUUAGAGACUAAUGAACCACGAUCAGUUCAUUUCCAGCAACACAGCGAAGCCAACAACGCUAAUCAGACCAAAAAAAAAAAAAAAAUUCAUUCUAGCAGUUUUAGUGAAGCAUACAACAAAUACCAAUCUAAGAAAAAGCUAAACGUGCAAAGAUGCACCAAUACCUAGGACAUGUUUUUGCAUCAAAGAAAAAAGAUGGCCAACUCCAACAAUACCCACCAUCUUCAUCAAAUUCCAACAUAGCAAGUGUAACAAGCUAAGUAACUGCACAAGUAAAAUAUAAUUUCAUCAAAUUCAAAGUCCGUGACAACGCAUAUAGAUUAUAAUAGUAGGCAAUAGAAUAAUAGCUAGCUGAUGAUAGAAUGGAAAUUUUUUGAAAUUCAUCAAAUUUGAUCUCAGCUAACAAAUUACCUAGGUGGCUAAUGGCUUCCCCUUUCAGGCCAAUGUAGUAGUGUAUCUAAGUUGUGUCACCCCUUAAAAUUGUUAGGGAAGUGUAUUGUGUAAAAUAGCUUUUGCAGCAUAUUUGAAUCAUAUCUUCAAAAAUCCUACAUCCUCAAUAGAACUUCAAAAGAUAAAAAGGCAUAAUCAAUCAACUCAACAAAAAUGUUUAUCUAAUUGUAAUGUGAAAAAGUCGUGCCAAUAAAUCAAAAGCAAAUCAAUAUUACAAGUAGAACUCAAUGAACAUAAUUUUAAUUCAAAAUGGAGACAUAGAACUAGAUUUCAAGUACAAAAGUCUAUGGUGCAAGGAUGAGGACUUUUACGAAGUCGACCAAACUUUCAAUGAAUGAUUCAAGGGAAUCAGUAACGAAUAGAUUCUGUGCAGCAAUAAAUAUUUUUCGAUCACAUACAUGCCAUCCACAUUUCAAACACACUUCUUGGAAACAGGCCAAUGUCUAGAUAAAAGGUGAACCAUAAAAGAGUAUACAAGUGCACAAAUUACCUUAGAAGAAUUCAGACGUUACUCCCAUGCUUUAAAAACUGACUUGACACUCCUUGGAACAGUCUCCUUUAAUGCAGACACCUAAAAAAACAAUCCAAUAAAAAAGAAAAAGGAAAAAUUACUAAAAGCAAUUAAAUGAAAUGAACUGGAAAAACAAACAAGAAGAAUUUCUUUUCAAUCCUUGACAAUGAAAUGAACUAAAAAUAGAGCCAACAACAGCUCAGAAGGAAGUAGCUCCCUGUUACAAAGCAAACAGGGCAUUUAUUCACAUGAAGCAGACCUUCACUCUGGACCUGUAAACGACCAUAACCCAGCCUGUCUACUGCAAAGUACACUAAAACAUGGUGGGGAAAAUUAUCCUAAAACAACUCCCUUGCAAUUACCACAGACGUUUUUGAAGCUCACUAAUGUGAUGCGAUGGAGCUUCUUUUACGAUAUGCACAACUUUUUGGUUUGGCUUUGAGCACAAUCAAAAUCCAAAGACAUCAGUGAGUAUGCCAAACUAAGCUAAGCAGAUAAGGCCUUUGCAACAAAAAUUGUACAGUAACUAAAUGCAUACAAAAACAGAAGCAUCAAGGUCAAGCUAACCUCAGAAGUAGCAUUAUUAUCUAUUGAAGUCUUUGCUUCAACAAAUUUCCAUGAAGCAGACAUGUUACUUUUCCUCAAAGAAUUAAGUAUUAAAAGGUCCAAAUCAACUGUGCUGGCUGCGAUAACAUCAAUGACAUAAACAUUGGUUUGAAUAAUUUGCCACAUAUAUAGUUAAUAUAAUUAAUAAUAGGAAAGCAUAGUUGUUGUAAGUAAGGUAAUACAAAUAACUUGUAACUAAACUCUUCACCAACACACACUUACAACUUUUGACAGUAGAGAUUUAAAGUACUGAAGUGCCAGUCUUUCUUUCCAAUGUAAUUUUGCACUAGUCAACUAAAUUUUUAACUAUAUAAAUAAAGAGAGUAACCAGGAUCUCUUAAUCUAAAUAAUAACAAUAAGAAAAUAAAAUGUAGCAACAAGCUACUUGCUUGCUAGAACCACUUGGAAUAUCAUUUCGAUCUAGCACAAGUAACAACAAUAAUUUUCAAAUAAGUGACAAAGAUAAAUAAAUUUCGAACAAAAACUAAUGAAAAUCUAAUGCUAUAUUACACAGGCAAAGUACAAUAUUCUAGUCACUCACGGAGCUAAUAUGGUGCUUUUAGAAGCUUAGAGUUGACGCUCAGUAACCAAAAAUAAAUAAAUAAAAUAUAUAACCAAAAAGCAAAAAGCACCAAUGCUAUGAGUAAAUUAGGAUUUUAUAGAAUGCAAUAAAACUAACAAUAGGUCAAGUCUAAAAAGUAAGCAAAAAUAAUUUUCAAAAAAAACCUAAAACAACCAAAUGUGAGAUAAAAGUUAGAUUUUAAAAUAUACAAAUGAAAAUGAAUGAACUAAAUAAUUAAUUAAUCGGAGAGAAUUAACCAGUUGAAGCGGAGGUGCAAAGCCGUCGGCCAACAAAGAAGAUCAACUGCACAAGAACUAAGAAGAAAAUAAUUGGAUCCCUAAUUUGAAGACUAAACAAAAUGUCAAGGUGAUUAGCCGCACAAGAUCAAAACCGAUAUCAUUCUAUAGGUUCAGGUUUUGUUCAUUUCAGCAAACUAGUACAUUUAAGCACAUAAAUUUUUGGAAACAAAAUCCAUUUUCUAACACAGUGAACAAAUUUUAGAUAAACCUUUAGUGCUUAGAACUACACCUUUAGUGUUGAAAUUGACAAGAAAUUUUAAUUAAAUUGACAUGCAAGAGAAAAUAAGGAGAAUAAUUACUUGUGUUAAUCGAAAAUUUGAGCUUAAUCUACGAUGGGUUUUCAGUUAGGGUUUGAAAUGCAACAGUGGUAGCACAUGUUCAAUGGGUUCUUCGUGUGGAUCUCGAUGAUGGCCAAAAUCGACGACGGGUGACAAGGCAAAAUCGACGCCGGGACUUGAGACAAAAUCGACGGUGUUACUGAUGCAAGGGUUUGAGGCGAUAGGUUGUUAUGAGAGUGAGACCGUGUGAAGGUGAGAGAUGUUUGAGUUUUGGCUAAACACUUGGGAAAAAAACCGAUCUGAAGUGUUUUGUGUUUAUUCAUUUUUAUUUUCUUUUCUCUAAAC